rnacentral:rRNA from 1 species
GAUGAACGCUGGCGGCGUGCCUAAUACAUGCAAGUCGAGCGGACCACUUCGGUGGUCAGCGGCGGACGGGUGAGUAACACGUGGGCAACCUGCCUGUAAGACUGGGAUAACACCGGGAAACCGGUGCUAAUACCGGAUAAUCCUUUCCUUCACAUGAAGGGAAGCUGAAAGACGGUUUCGGCUGUCACUUACAGAUGGGCCCGCGGCGCCUUAGCUAGUUGGCGAGGUAACGGCUCACCAAGGCAACGAUGCAUAGCCGACCCGAGAGGGUGAUCGGCCAAACUGGGAAUGAGACACGGCCCAGACUCCUACGGGAGGCAGCAGUAGGGAAUCUUCCGCAAUGGACGAAAGUCUGACGGAGCAACGCCGCGUGAGCGAUGAAGGCCUUCGGGUCGUAAAGCUCUGUUGUCAGGGAAGAACAAGUACCGGAGUAACUGCCGGUACCUUGACGGUACCUGACCAGAAAGCCACGGCUAACUACGUGCCAGCCGCCGCGGUAACAC